UACGUAGGGUGCGAGCGUUAAUCGGAAUUACUGGGCGUAAAGCGUGCGUAGGUGGUUCGUUAAGUCUGAUGUGAAAGCCCUGGGCUCAACCUGGGAAUGGCAUUGGAAACUGGCGACCUAGAGUGCGGUAGAGGGUAGUGGAAUUCCCGGUGUAGCAGUGAAAUGCGUAGAGAUCGGGAGGAACAUCCGUGGCGAAGGCGACUACCUGGACCAGCACUGACACUGAGGCACGAAAGCGUGGGGAGCCAAACAGG
rnacentral:rRNA from 1 species